rnacentral:rRNA from 1 species
UACGAAGGGGGCUAGCGUUGCUCGGAAUUACUGGGCGUAAAGGGCGCGUAGGCGGAUGUUUAAGUCGGGGGUGAAAGCCCAGGGCUCAACCCUGGAAUUGCCUUCGAUACUGGACAUCUUGAGUGCGGGAGAGGUGAGUGGAACUCCGAGUGUAGAGGUGAAAUUCGUAGAUAUUCGGAAGAACACCAGUGGCGAAGGCGACUCACUGGCCCGUUACUGAUGCUGAUGCGCAAAAGCGUGGGGAGCAAACAGG